rnacentral:rRNA from 1 species
CCUACGGGAGGCAGCAGUGAGGAAUAUUGGUCAAUGGACGGAAGUCUGAACCAGCCAUGCCGGGUGCAGGAAGACGGCUCUAUGAGUUGGAAACUGCUUUUGUACAAGGGUAAACCUGAAUACGUGUAUUCAGCUGAAAGUACUGUACGAAUAAGGAUCGGCUAACUCCGUGCGAGCAGCCGCGGUAAUACGGAGGAGCCAAGCGUUAUCCGGAUUUAUGGGGUUUAAAGGGUGCGUAGGCGGAUUGAUAAGUUAGAGGUGAAAUGUCCGAGCUUAACUCGGGAACUGCCUCUAAUACUGUUGAUCUAGAGAGUAGAUGCGGUAGGCGGAAUGUAUGGUGUAGCUGUGAAAUGCUUAGAGAUCAUACAGAACACCGAUUGCGAAGGCAGCUUACCAAUCUAUAUCUGACGUUGAGGCACGAAAGCGUGGGGAGCAAACAGGAUUAGAUACCCAGUAGUC